UGUAAACCCCGGUCGACCUAGCAUGAAACCCACACCAAUUUACACGGGCCAACACUUAAGACUUUCACUGCUUGCCAAGGGAUUCGAACCAGGGACCUAGGCUUUGCCCAGCCGACUCUUCACCACCAAGACAAACAGUGACAAAGAAUACCUGGUGCUGGUUGGUUCCCUGAUACAAUUUCCAGCAUAACCAAAAAGGAUCCUGCUGCACAAUUCCUUGUUUCUUUCAGGAGCAAGGAUACAGUAGGAUUGCGAUCUUUAGCUGCUGGGGGGAAACUAUU